CCAGGUAGGCUCAUAUGGAAGGAGGAGGUCCUUCAGGUAUCCAGGGCCCAAGCCGUUGUUGGACUAUAGCUGCCAUAAUCCAUCCCCACUGACUGUCCUGGGAAAGCCUGAUGGGAGUUGCAGUCCUACAACAGACUCAUAUGUUUCCCCCACUCCAGCUCUACAGCUGUGGGCCAGUGUUGGUAUGAGGAAAUGUUUUAGCAGGUGAUGCCCUCAUGGCUGAGAAAAUCAGUUGUGACCUCAUAAUCAUGACCUAUCAACUGCUGGCAAGUUGUUAUUUCAGUUUAAUCUACUGCAAGGAUUGUUGUGAGAGUAAAAUGAGUUUCAGUUUAUAUACAGAAAAGUACUACGUCAAAAGUUAAAGCUCUGAUUGUAUGAUUUGUGAAAUCUGCAAAUGCUUAUACUGUAUGAAGUUUCCUGAUAUUGUUCCUAAAGCCCCAAGGGCUACGGGACCACUGAAGUGUGUUUCUUCCAGAGUUUUCUAUAUAAACAGUGUAGUGCUGCUGUCGCACAGUGAAACUCAUGGCACUAAGGACACACUCUCAGCUUAACAUCUGUCUCUCAGAGUCCUUGCCAAGGACAAAACAGAAGGAGGAAAGCUGUUGUGCGGAGUGGAGAAAAGAUGCAAUGUAAAUGCAAUUAAUAAUAAAUACAUUUGAAAUUCCCAUAUGUGAACAGGUUUUGUCUUGCCUAAAUAAAUAUUAAAACCUAAACACACCAGAAUCCCAAGAACAUUUGCACAGAGAGAGAACAAAACAAAUUAAGAUACUUCUUAUAAUGCUUUUAAAAGAUGGUUGGACGGGUCUGGCAGUAUAAAAGCCAAAUGUAAAUUUGUGUGUGUGUAUUUUUCUGAGAAAUAAUUAGGACACAUGAGCCAUGCUAGCAGAAAAUUAGCUAUGAGCAAAUCUUUACAGGAUUGAUAUCCUUAUCUCUACCACUCAUCCUCCUUCUUCUUUCUGGUGUUGCCUUCAUUGGAAUUUAGAUCAAAACUCUUUUAAAUGAGAUGCUUGUGUCUUUUUGAUUUUUUUAAUGUAAAGUGCUAAUUCCCUGUAAAGCACUGUAUAUAUUAUCAUGCUACAGAAAGAAGAACAAUAAAAAUAAUAUAAAUGCUUUCAUAUUCCUCCAACCUCAGUUCAUGAUGAUUUGUAUCUAACAUAUUAAUUUGAGCACAAAUCAGCAAAAAGCUCAGCAUAGCCCAUUCACACUUACAAAAAUAAGGAGAGUUAAAUUUCUAGGUUGGCUGGAAUAUACAACAUCUCUGAUGCUAGAAAUCAAGGGUGACAGCUAUUGAGACACGGAGCUGCCCCCACCAUUUGAAGUCACUCAGCAGAUACGGUAGGAGAGGAGAGAAGAGGAUGCCUGCCACUCCUGGGUGAAGACAGGCGUGCUCUUUCCUUGUGGGAAAUUGCUGACAGGGCACUGGGUGCCAGGUUGCUCUUGCACAGCGAUAUUAGAGCUCCUGCUGAGACAGGACCCCAUCCUCUGUGGAUCUAACCUGAUAAGCCACAGGGAGAGUAUUUGGGCCACUUGGAGGAAAAUGCCUGCCAUCUGUCCAGUUGGGUCAGCAUAUAAUUAUCUAAACAGGGGCAGUUACACAGACAUUUACACCAAAGUAUUCCUGUAUUGAGCAGAGGGCUCAAUUGCUUUAUCGUUCCUUUUCACUUCUAUGAUUCUACUGGGAUAAGCAAAGUGUGACCCUGAACCUGGGGGAAAAAUGCUAGAUAGCUCAAUGGCUUAGGCACCUGGCUGUGGAACCAGAGGUUCUGAGUUCAAUUCCCCACUGUGCCUCCUUGACAGGGGCUGGACUUGAUGAUCCAUUGGGUCCUUCCAGCUCUGCAGUUCUAAGUCGAUGAUGAACUGGGAAUAACUCCUCAGACUAUUUUCCCUUACAACCAAACGUUGGAUCUGAUCACAACUUGAUCUCAAAUCAGCGUUUACCAGGACUUCUCCUGAUUCAAGUUCCAAUGAGCUAAGAAAGAAAGGAUAAUGAAGAGCGUGUCAUGACCCUCUGCAGUGUGACUUUCUUUCACAUGAGCAAAUACAGCCAGUUGUCCCACAGAUGGGAGCAGAAAUGAGCCUCACUUGCACACAGUGGUGGGCCUACUUUUUUUCUUUUCUUUUUUUAGUUUCUGAAGCUUGAACUGUUACAAGGGGUCUUUCACACCCAGCAACGAGGUCUCAGUAACCGUUGUUCCAUUGCAGAUCGCAAUUUUUUAAAAAAAUUAUGUGGACUAAAAUUGCUUCUAGGCACCCUCCAGGAAUUGGGGACCCUGAAGCUUAAGCUUCAUUAAUUUCAUAGUGGAGCCACCCUUGCUUGCAUAUCUCAAUUAAACAAUGAAUCAGACAACAAUCCUCUCAUCUCCAGUUACUAUUAUAACACACUUGUUAGAGAUGGGAAGACAUAGGACAUUUCUGCUUCAGUAUUUUUAGGGCACAG